rnacentral:lncRNA from 1 species
GGCGGAGCGGAGGAGUUGGGCGGAGGAUAGCCGGCAAAGAUGGAGCUUCUGCCGCUGGUGGUGGUCCGAAAGUUUGGCGGAUGCUCAAAGUGUGGCGGAGACGGCGAGUUAAGCGGAGGACCAGUUCGGCGGAGCACCAGUUUGGCGGAGCACCGGUUCGACGGAUCACCAAUUCGGCGGGGAUGCAAGUUGGGCGGAGGACCAGUUCGGCGGAGGAGAGCGCUGGUGUCUGGCCGAAGCUGAAGUUCAGCGGAGCUGAAGUCUGGCGGAUCGGAGCCUGACGGAGACCACGAGCUCGGUCGAAGGUGGACGGAGCUACAGUUCCCAGCGGAGCUGGUUCCCAGCGGAGGACCGGAGCUGCAGUGAUCGAAGCUGGCUGCUGUGAUCGAAGCUCGACGAAGAGAGAGGACGC